rnacentral:rRNA from 1 species
AAGGCCCAGACAGCCAGGAUGUUGGCUUAGAAGCAGCCAUCAUUUAAAGAAAGCGUAAUAGCUCACUGGUCGAGUCGGCCUGCGCGGAAGAUGUAACGGGGCUAAACCAUGCACCGAAGCUGCGGCAGCGACACUAUGUGUUGUUGGGUAGGGGAGCGUUCUGUAAGCCUGUGAAGGUGUACUGUGAGGUAUGCUGGAGGUAUCAGAAGUGCGAAUGCUGACAUAAGUAACGAUAAAGCGGGUGAAAAGCCCGCUCGCCGGAAGACCAAGGGUUCCUGUCCAACGUUAAUCGGGGCAGGGUGAGUCGACCCCUAAGGCGAGGCCGAAAGGCGUAGUCGAUGGGAAACAGGUUAAUAUUCCUGUACUUGGUGUUACUGCGAAGGGGGGACGGAGAAGGCUAUGUUGGCCGGGCGACGGUUGUCCCGGUUUAAGCGUGUAGGCUGGUUUUCCAGGCAAAUCCGGAAAAUCAAGGCUGAGGCGUGAUGACGAGGCACUACGGUGCUGAAGCAACAAAUGCCCUGCUUCCAGGAAAAGCCUCUAAGCAUCAGGUAACAUCAAAUCGUACCCCAAACCGACACAGGUGGUCAGGUAGAGAAUACCAAGGCGCUUGAGAGAACUCGGGUGAAGGAACUAGGCAAAAUGGUGCCGUAACUUCGGGAGAAGGCACGCUGAUAUGUAGGUGAAGUCCCUCGCGGAUGGAGCUGAAAUCAGUCGAAGAUACCAGCUGGCUGCAACUGUUUAUUAAAAACACAGCACUGUGCAAACACGAAAGUGGACGUAUACGGUGUGACGCCUGCCCGGUGCCGGAAGGUUAAUUGAUGGGGUCAGCGCAAGCGAAGCUCUUGAUCGAAGCCCCGGUAAACGGCGGCCGUAACUAUAACGGUCCUAAGGUAGCGAAAUUCCUUGUCGGGUAAGUUCCGACCUGCACGAAUGGCGUAAUGAUGGCCAGGCUGUCUCCACCCGAGACUCAGUGAAAUUGAACUCGCUGUGAAGAUGCAGUGUACCCGCGGCAAGACGGAAAGACCCCGUGAACCUUUACUAUAGCUUGACACUGAACAUUGAGCCUUGAUGUGUAGGAUAGGUGGGAGGCUUUGAAGUGUGGACGCCAGUCUGCAUGGAGCCGACCUUGAAAUACCACCCUUUAAUGUUUGAUGUUCUAACGUGGACCCGUAAUCCGGGUUGCGGACAGUGUCUGGUGGGUAGUUUGACUGGGGCGGUCUCCUCCUAAAGAGUAACGGAGGAGCACGAAGGUUGGCUAAUCCUGGUCGGACAUCAGGAGGUUAGUGCAAUGGCAUAAGCCAGCUUGACUGCGAGCGUGACGGCGCGAGCAGGUGCGAAAGCAGGUCAUAGUGAUCCGGUGGUUCUGAAUGGAAGGGCCAUCGCUCAACGGAUAAAAGGUACUCCGGGGAUAACAGGCUGAUACCGCCCAAGAGUUCAUAUCGACGGCGGUGUUUGGCACCUCGAUGUCGGCUCAUCACAUCCUGGGGCUGAAGUAGGUCCCAAGGGUAUGGCUGUUCGCCAUUUAAAGUGGUACGCGAGCUGGGUUUAGAACGUCGUGAGACAGUUCGGUCCCUAUCUGCCGUGGGCGCUGGAGAACUGAGGGGGGCUGCUCCUAGUACGAGAGGACCGGAGUGGACGCAUCACUGGUGUUCGGGUUGUCAUGCCAAUGGCACUGCCCGGUAGCUAAAUGCGGAAGAGAUAAGUGCUGAAAGCAUCUAAGCACGAAACUUGCCCCGAGAUGAGUUCUCCCUGACUCCUUGAGAGUCCUGAAGGAACGUUGAAGACGACGACGUUGAUAGGCCGGGUGUGUAAGCGCAGCGAUGCGUUGAGCUAACCGGUACUAAUGAACCGUGAG